rnacentral:rRNA from 1 species
UAUCACAAGUGCGAAUGCUGACAUAAGUAACGAUAAAACGAGUGAAAAACUCGUUCGCCGGAAGACCAAGGGUUCCUGUCCAACGUUAAUCGGGGCAGGGUGAGUCGGCCCCUAAGGCGAGGCUGAAAAGCGUAGUCGAUGGGAAACGGGUUAAUAUUCCCGUACUUGGUAAAGCUGCGAUGUGGGGACGGAGAAGGUUAGGUUAGCAGACUGUUGGAUGUCUGUUUAAGUUGGUAGGUGGGRAGUUUAGGCAAAUCCGGACUUCCAUAACACUGAGAGAUGAUGACGAGUUUCUACGGAAAUGAAGUAACUGAUACCACGCUUCCAGGAAAAGCCACUAAGCGAAAGGCUUUACUAAACCGUACUGAAAACCGACACAGGUGGUCAGGUAGAGAAUACUCAGGCGCUUGAGAGAACUCGGGUGAAGGAACUAGGCAAAAUAGCACCGUAACUUCGGGAGAAGGUGCGCUGGCGUAGGUUGUARGAGUAUACCUCCGAAGGCUGAACCAGUCGAAGAUACCAGCUGGCUGCAACUGUUUAUUAAAAACACAGCACUCUGCAAACACGAAAGUGGACGUAUAGGGUGUGAUGCCUGCCCGGUGCUGGAAGGUUAAUUGAUGGUGUUAUCGAAAGAGAAGCUCCUGAUCGAAGCCCCAGUAAACGGCGGCCGUAACUAUAACGGUCCUAAGGUAGCGAAAUUCCUUGUCGGGUAAGUUCCGACCUGCACGAAUGGCAUAAUGAUGGCCAGGCUGUCUCCACCCGAGACUCAGUGAAAUUGAAAUCGCCGUGAAGAUGCGGUGUACCCGCGGCUAGACGGAAAGACCCCGUGAACCUUUACUAUAGCUUGACACUGAACAUUGAAUUUUGAUGUGUAGGAUAGGUGGGAGCCUAAGAAGCAGUCACGCCAGUGAUUGUGGAGGCGUCCUUGAAAUACCACCCUUUAACAUUUGAUGUUCUAACGAAGAUUGCGAAACGCGGUCUCGGACAGUGUCUGGUGGGUAGUUUGACUGGGGCGGUCUCCUCCCAAAGCGUAACGGAGGAGCACGAAGGUUUGCUAAUCACGGUCGGACAUCGUGAGGUUAGUGCAAUGGUAUAAGCAAGCUUAACUGCGAGACAGACAAGUCGAGCAGGUGCGAAAGCAGGUCAUAGUGAUCCGGUGGUUCUGAAUGGAAGGGCCAUCGCUCAACGGAUAAAAGGUACUCCGGGGAUAACAGGCUGAUACCGCCCAAGAGUUCAUAUCGACGGCGGUGUUUGGCACCUCGAUGUCGGCUCAUCACAUCCUGGGGCUGAAGUAGGUCCCAAGGGUAUGGCUGUUCGCCAUUUAAAGUGGUACGCGAGCUGGGUUUAGAACGUCGUGAGACAGUUCGGUCCCUAUCUGCCGUGGGCGUUGGAGAAUUGAGAGGGGCUGCUCCUAGUACGAGAGGACCGGAGUGGACGCAUCACUGGUGUACCAGUUGUCUCGCCAGAGGCAYUGCUGGGUAGCUAAAUGCGGAAGAGAUAAGUGCUGAAAGCAUCUAAGCACGAAACUCGCCUUAAGAUGAGUUCUCCCUAGCUAUAAGCUAGUAAGGGUUGUUGAAGACUACGACGUAGAUAGGUCUGGUGUGUAAGCGGUGUGAGCCGUUGAGCUAACAGAUACUAAUUGCCCGAGAGGCUUAACUAU